GCCUCGCAGCAGGGAAGAGGCAGAGCAGCUCCUAAUGAGGCUCUGGGAGCACUCUGAGCCUCUUGGCUCGUGAGCAGAGAGCCGCAGGUGGGAGCCCCAGCCCUGUGGACCGUGGCAGCAUCGGCGCUAAAGCGCAGCCAAGCUUCCAGAAGCUUCUCUCCAAGAAUGCUGCUGCUUAUCUCUGUGUGUUCCUGGCACAGAGCAGCUUGGACCCACAGAUACCCAUCUGGCCGUGAGCUGAGAUGUUGGGACAGAGAUGGAGCAGCAGAUUCCCUUCCUUUGCUCCCGUUUGCAGAUGGUGGCACCCUGGGAGCAUCAGAGCGCUUCUGCAAGGCUCGCCCAAAAUCUCUCACCCAAAAUCUGCAGAGAUGCCCUGCAAGAUUUGCAUCAGGCCAAGAAGAGCCAUGUUGGCCAUAGAACAUACAGUCUGCGGAUGGAAAACAAAAGGAAGAGUUGAAAACCUGCUGUGACAAUGCUGGAAUGUCCCCAGAUGUGAAGCACUGUGCUCCUCCUGCGAGGCCACAGCUCUGCGUCCGCACUGGGGACACAUGGCUUUAUCCUGCUGCCUCUGCAAUGGGCAGCGACCAUCCUGCUGCACCCAGCUCUGCCCCAGGCAGAGUUCCUCCCUUGCUCUCCCACCCGAGCUGUGCCCUGCUCCUUCCCCACGUGCCCUGACCCCCAGGUCUCACUUUUCAGGGGCUUUGGGUUUUUUUCUCCUUUGUGUUGGAGCUGCCCAGGAACCACACGGUUGCUGUAGGGACCUGCUGGUGCUGCUCAGCCCUCCUUUCCUGUACUGUUUGCACAAGAAAGGAACGGACAGAGUGGAGCAUCUGCAUGGUUUUUAUUUGGUUUGAGUUUGUUUUCUUUCUGUUGGUGGGAAGCAGAGGACGAACACUGCAGAUUCAACAUUUUCUCCUCGUUUUGAUGCCCAACAUUUUGGCUGCGGUGCCAUGUGCCCUGCAGAUCCAAGGCUCCUGGUUGCAGCCCGGUGGGGGAACCCCGCUCUGAACUGGGAAGCUGUGGCGCUGCUGAAGGCGUACAAAACAGGGAGAACCUCCCCAGGGUGCAGCUCUGCGAGAUCCCAAAUGCUCAGGGCUUGUAUUGUGGAUGCUGUCCACCACGCUUUCUCUUCUUGCAAUUAUUCAGUAUUGGGGACAGUGGGGGGAAAAUUUGCAUUUCUUUGUCUGUUUUUUGCAAUAUAUGUAUGUAUGUAUGUAUAUGUAUUUUAAGUGUCUUUGCUUGUUAUAAAUUUCUCUGCGGUGAGCAGACAGGACAGAGGGCUGUGAGCUCAAUGCAAGGUGUCACUGGAGAAGUUUCCAGUCACUCUUUGUGUUGAUCACAGGUAAACACAUGUGUGCACAGUGUCUCAGAUGCGUUGUCUGAUUGCCGUGCUCACAUGCACCCCAUUUUCCACUGCCAUUGUGAUGCCGAAAAACCACUUUGAGCAGAGGAAUGCUUUCAAUGCAAGCCCUGCUGCAGGCCGUGUGCUGCCAAUGUCCUUG